rnacentral:rRNA from 1 species
GACGAACGCUGGCGGCGUGCUUAACACAUGCAAGUCGAGCGGUAAGGCCCUUCGGGGUACACGAGCGGCGAACGGGUGAGUAACACGUGAGCAAUCUGCCCUGCACAUCGGGAUAACCCCCGGAAACGGGAGCUAAUACCGGAUACGACCACUUCAGGCAUCUGAUGGUGGUGGAAAGUUCCGGCGGUGCAGGAUGAGCUCGCGGCCUAGCAGCUUGUUGGUGGGGGAGCGGGCCACCAAGGCUUCGACGGGUAGCCGGCCUGAGAGGGUGACCGGCACUACAGGGACUGAGACACGGCCCAGCCUACUACGUGAGGCAGCAGUGGGGAGUAAUGGACAAUGGGCGAAAGCCUGAUCCAGCAACGCCGCGUGAGUGAUGACGGCCUUCGGGUUGUAAACCUCUUUCAGCAGGGACGAAGCGAAAGUGACGGUACCUGCAGAAGAAGCACCGGCCAACUACGUGCCAGCAGCCGCAGUAAGAC